GGACAUUGUCAGGUGGGG
rnacentral:snRNA from 1 species